UACGUAGGGUGCGAGCGUUAAUCGGAAUUACUGGGCGUAAAGCGCACGUAGGCGGCUUUCUAAGUCGGGGGUGAAAUCCUGGAGCUCAACUCCAGAACUGCCUUCGAUACUGGAGAGCUCGAGUCCGGGAGAGGUGAGUGGAACUGCGAGUGUAGAGGUGAAAUUCGUAGAUAUUCGCAAGAACACCAGUGGCGAAGGCGGCUCACUGGCCCGGUACUGACGCUGAGGUGCGAAAGCGUGGGGAGCAAACAGG
rnacentral:rRNA from 1 species